CUAACACAUGCAAGUUGAGCGGAGGUAGAUGGAGCUUGCUCUAUGUACCUUAGCAGCGAACGGGUGAGUAACACGUAGAUAAUCUGUCCUAUAUUGGGGGAUAGCCCGAUGAAAGUUGGAUUAAUACCGCAUACAGCUAUAUAGUUGCAUGAUUAUAUAGUGAAAGAUUUAUUGAUAUAGGAGGAGUCUGCGGCACAUUAGCUAGUAGGUGAGGUAAGAGCUUACCUAGGCGACGAUGUGUAGCCGGUCUGAGAGGAUGAACGGCCACAAUGGAACUGAGACACGGUCCAUACUCCUACGGGAGGCAGCAGUGGGGAAUAUUGCACAAUGGGGGAAACCCUGAUGCAGCAACGCCGCGUGAGUGAAGAAGGUUUUCGGAUUGUAAAGCUCUGUUAGCAGGGAAGAGGAAGGACGGUACCUGCAGAGGAAGCCACGGCUAACUACGUGCCAGCAGCCGCGGUAAUACGUAGGUGGCAAGCGUUGUUCGGAAUAACUGGGCGUAAAGGAUGCGUAGGCGGUUAAAUAAGUUAUAUGUUAAAUAUAUAGGCUUAACCUGUAGAAAGCAUAUAAAACUGUUUAACUAGAGUGCAGGAGAGGUAAGUGGAAUUCCUAGUGUAGCGGUGAAAUGCGUAGAGAUUAGGAAGAACACCAGUGGCGAAGGCGACUU
rnacentral:rRNA from 1 species